rnacentral:rRNA from 1 species
AACGAACGUUAGCGGCGCGCCUAACACAUGCAAGUCGCACGAGAAAGGGCUUCGGCUCCGGUAAAGUGGCGCACGGGUGAGUAACACGUGGGUAACCUGCCCUCGAGCGGGGGAUAACAUUCCGAAAGGAGUGCUAAUACCGCAUAAGACCACGACCUCGAAAGAGGAUGGGGUCAAAGCUGGCCUCCAUACAUAAGCUAGCACUUGAGGAUGGGCCCGGGGCGCAUCAGCUAGUUGGUGAGGUAACGGCUCACCAAGGCGAAGACGCGUAGCGAGUCGGAGAGGAUGGUCGGCCACAGUGGAACGCGGAAACGGUCCAGACUCCUAGGGGGGGCAGCAGGGGGGAAUCGUGCGCAAUGGCGAAAGCCUGACGCAGCGACGCCGCGUGAGUGAUGAAGGCCUUCGGGUUGUAAAGCUCUGUGGGGCGAGACGAAUAAGUGCAGCCUAAUACGUUGCAUGAUGACGGUAUCGCCUUAGCAAGCACCGGCUAACUCUGUGCCAGCCGCCGCCGUAA